rnacentral:tRNA from 1 species
GCCGAGUGGCUUAAGUCGCACGCCUGGAAAGCGUGUUCAGGAUAAUAUCCUGACGGGGGUUCGAAUCCCCC